GAGAAGUACUUUUCUGGUCAUCAAUGUAAGCAGCAGAAAUCUGAGAUGGCUAUUCCAUCUUGUGAAAAUGAUAAGUCUGCAUUCCAAAUGCAAGGGCAGGAAGUGGAAGAUGGAGAAGAAGUGUGGCAUGAUGUUAUGGAAGGGGAUGGAAGCGGAAUUGGAGAUGAAAUAACCCUUUCUGUACAUGCUAUUGAGGGCAGAGAAACAGGGAAUUACUGAUUUUAAUCGACUCUGGCAGCACUCAUAGUUUCUUAGAUGUUAAAGUAGCAAGGGAAUUGAAGGUAACUGCAGUAGAUGUGACUGUUUUAGCAGU
rnacentral:misc_RNA from 1 species